CCUACGGGAGGCAGCAGUCGAGAAUCAUUCACAAUGGGGGAAACCCUGAUGGUGCGACGCCGCGUGGGGGAAUGAAGGUCUUCGGAUUGUAAACCCCUGUCAUGUGGGAGCAAAUUAAAAAGAUAGUACCACAAGAGGAAGAGACGGCUAACUCUGUGCAAGCAGCCGCGGUAAUACAGAGGUCUCAAGCGUUGUUCGGAAUCACUGGGCGUAAAGCGUGCGUAGGCUGUUUCGUAAGUCGUGGGUGAAAGGCCCGGGCUCAACCCGCGGACGGCACAUGAUACUGCGAGACUAGAGUAAUGGAGAGGGAGCCGGAAUUCUCGGUGUAGCAGUGAAAUGCGUAGAUAUCGAGAGGAACACUCGUGGCGAAGGCGGGUUCCUGGACAUUAACUGACGCUGAGGCACGAAGGCCAGGGGAGCGAAAGGGAUUAGAUACCCCUGUAGUC
rnacentral:rRNA from 1 species